rnacentral:sRNA from 1 species
GGAACUACCAGCCAGGGUCCCUGUGUGGCUACUGCUCCUUCUGCAAUCGAUGCACUGAAUGUGAGAGCUGUCACUGUGAUGAGGAGAACAUGGGUGAGCACUGCGACCAGUGCCAGGUGAGACCUCACCUCACACUCAAGUCUCCACUGGGCCUCAGGAUGCACCGGGACCCUCUGAGGAACCCCAGCCCUAAAUCCUGGCCUCUGACCCAACCCCUUACCCCUGAUGCAACCUUGACUCCACAAGCGAUCCUGACUCCAACCUUAACCUAGACCUAGCCUCUGGUCCGGGUCUGGUCCCGGCCCCAUCCUAACUCCGACCCCGGCCACGCCCCACGCUCACUCUCUCUCCCCGUCCCCGCCUCCAGCACUGUCAAUUCUGCUAUCUCUGCCCCCUGGUCUGCGAAACGGUCUGCACUCCAGGUGAGCAUGGGCGGGGCCCUGGAAAAACCUGAGGAAAGUGCCAGGCCCA